UCUCGUAACUCUGCUAACUCCAUCUGUGUUCGGUGAGCAGCGUCCUUGUACUGCUGUUCCGAAAUCUGGAGAGUACGAUUCUGUGCCUCCGUCUGCUCAGCUCUAACCUUUAAGUUGUCGUUCCUAACUAUCAAAUCUCUUAUCAUCUCACUGUCUGUGUACUCCUCGCUAGAGUCCAUCAUCUCUUGGGUCAAGGAAUUACUAUCUUGACUUUCGUCAUUCAUCUUAUGACCACAAUAAACGAGACAACAUUAGUACUGAAAUAAAAUAUGUUCAUCGAUAAAAUGAAGUAAUAUUUUAUUUAGUACCACUAAAACUCGAUGAAUCUCUUCAACUCAUCAUAUCCUAUAACUUCUCACCAGAGUACUUCGUCUCCUGGUUCACUGAAUAUUUAUCUUAACUUUCGUCCUCCAUUCUACUAAGGUUGUAAUUCUUCACCAGAGUUCUUCAUCCAUUGAAUAUUUAUCUUAACUUUCGUUAUUCAUUCUACUAAGGUUAUAANNNN
rnacentral:lncRNA from 1 species